CCCUGGGCUGCAGGACCCCAACUGUCCAGGGAGGACAGCAAGGCCGGGAGGGUAGCACAGGACACUGCAAAGGAGACAGGUCGGGGUACCACAUGCAGCUCUCCACAGGACUUGUUUAGGACUCCCCGCACGUCCUCCCUCCUCCAUCACCUCUGGCCGGGUGACCACACAGAGAAAGGGGGCAUUCACCAGCAGCGGGAGCCAUGGCCCGUGGUAGGGCAGGGAGGGGUCACAGACUGAUGUCUCCACCCGCACAGACAUGUAAUUUACUCAUUCCACGCGUAGUUCCUGCGCCUAAUUGUCACUUCCCAUUUGCCCUCAGAGGAGAGUCUUACCCAAGAAGUGGACGGAAUGGAGGUGGCAUGCAUGGCCAUUAUUCAUGAUGACACAUGCAGUAAUGGAGGCAGCACGGGACGUUGUGUAUCCCAGGGAAACACUGCAGCCUGGCUGAUGUGUGUGUAUGGGGCAGGCAAAGGAGCGGUCUCUGGUUAAACGAUAACUGGAUGGGGUUUUGUAGGAUGCAUAGAAGUUCUCUAAUGAAGACGAGGCCAGGAAUAACAUUCUGAGCAUUGAGAGUGGGAUAUGCGGUCCUGAGGUCUUGUCAUUGGCAAUACUUAAGCUCCUCCUGCGUGCCAGGCCUGCCGUAAGUGCUGGGGACGGAGGAGGCAGGUGAGGUCCUACUCCACGAUACUGUCAUAGGUGGGUGGAGGCACGUGUCAAUAGGGCUCCAGGUGUGGUGAGCACCCUGGAGGAAAGAUGCAGGAGAAGAGGGGGUGUGGGGAGUGGCUGCUGAUUGGACCUGGAUUUGGAGGCUGAGGCAGGAAUGUGGCUGGAUUUCAGGCUGGGAUUCCUGGGGCAGCAGGAGAGCCCUCACGGUGUGGCCCGCCUGGGCGGCCCAGCGGCAACAGUGACGAGUGACCUAGAGACAGCCACAGGGGCCGCCCAAC
rnacentral:lncRNA from 1 species